GGAUGAGAUAGGGGAAACCCUGAUGCAGCCAUGCCGCGUGUGUGAAGAAGGCCUUAGGGUUGUAAAGCACUUUCAGUGGGGAGGAAAGGGUGGAAGCUAAUACCUUUCAUCUGUGACGUUACCCACAGAAGAAGCACCGGCUAACUCCGUGCCAGCAGCCGCGGUAAUACGGAGGGUGCAAGCGUUAAUCGGAAUAACUGGGCGUAAAGCGCACGCAGGCGGUCGGAUAAGUCAGAUGUGAAAGCCCCGG
rnacentral:rRNA from 1 species